GAGAAAGGAAGCAUAGCUGGACAGAAUGACCAACAGACCCAAAACGGACUGGGGCUGGGGUGAGGGGAGGCAAGGCUCCGCCCCCACAGGGCCCGCCCCUACGUACCUGCGCUUCUGGCCUCGUCCCACCCUCUCCCCUUACGUCGCCUCUCGUUGGCCGCGGCGUAGCGCACUCACCCUCCUCUGUACCGGAUUUUCCGCCCGCGCGUGCGCAGUAUCCGGCAAGACGGACUUGAGUUUAAAUGAGCGACAGCUUUUGUGAGUUUGUUUGUUUAAAACCCGGAUGUCGUAGUCCCACGGCCUGUUGUCCUUCACACGUGGAUUUCGGGGGUCUCUGUGGACGUUCAAGAAUCCCUGCUGUGCCAGUGGCCGUGGAGGAUUGUGAUUUGUACCUGUUGAGAUCCUCCCUCUGUGUGGGGCUGCGUUGCAGGGAGCUCGCUGUGGUUUUCGAAGUAUUGAACAGCCUAUUUUCAACACUCGGGUCACUUCCCAAGACUGAUCUUACCUGAGAAGGAAGACCAGAGGAGAAGGAAAGCAGAGUCAGAAAUGACUCGUUCCCAGGCUAAUUCUCUGGAGCGUGGAAACCUGCCGAGCUCGCUUUCUCACCCGGGCUUUCAAGACUUCCUCGAGAGGAUGCUCUGUGCCUUCGUGAGUGGUACAAGCCCUGUGUCAAGGGCUUUAUAGGUUCUCUGCAUAAACCAGGGAAUAUCAGCCUCUUUCUGUCUUUUACUUUCUUAUUGUCGACUCCGGACCACCAGGUUCCGGUCCAUUAAAGGACUGCAACGUUAGGCUACAGAUCAGGGAAGUCAUAUAUGAAGUGAAAUUUGCUUACAACACAUUUUAAAAAUAUUUAUUUGGCUGCACUGGGUCUUCUUGUGGCAGGUAGGAUCUUCAGUCAUCCUUGUAAUUUUCAGGUUCUUUGGUUGUGACAUGUAAACUUUUAGCUACAGCAUGUGGGAUCUAGUUUGCUGAUCAGGGAAAGAACCAGAGCUCUGUGCAUUGGGAGCUCAGGGUCUUAGUCACUGGGUCAUCACAGAGUUCCUGAGCUAACAUUUUUUAAUGAUAGAUUCAGGUCAGAGUUUCCAUAUAGUGCCAAAUACCCGUGCGGUGAUAAUGCAUUCCUCCAUGGACUUCUUGCCCCAUGACUCAUGUUCACUGGUUAGGUGUUUCUGUGAGAUUUCCAUGCCAUGAAUUUGUUUUUUCCAUUUGACUUGAACAAGUGUCUUGGAAAGAAUCAGUGAGGGAUGUGCCUAAACUCUCAACAAUUAAUGGCGUAAACUCCAUGUCUUCUUACUUUCUUUCUGCUUUGGAAGAUGAACACUCAGGUGUGUUUAGCAGAGAUGCUGGGUUUUGGGAGUGGGGGUUUUCAUCCCAAGCCCAGGUCUCAUCUUUUCCAGUAGACUCCAUGCUCACAUCACAGAGUCUCAUCACAGUUUUGUAUUUUACAAAAUGUUUACAAGAAUCUAAUUAGUCCUAAUCUAUGCUCAACUGUAUUAAAAUUAAAAUACAGUUUAGUGCAAAUAAAACAAUAUCAUCCUCUCACAUUAUGUACAUAUUAAUCCAUUCAAAAUUACCUGAGUUUAGUGACAUGAAACAUUUUCUCUCUUCCUCCUAAUGAGCAUAUAGCCCCAUUUGAGUGUAUGUCUGUACUCAGUGGAGAUGAGUUUCAGUAGGCUCCGAGAGUGGGUGAUGGACAGGGAGGCCUGGCGUGCUGUGGGCCAUGGGAUUGUGAAGAGUGGGAUAUGACUGAUAACUGAACUGGACUGUAUGUGUGAAAAUAUUAACAUGACUUGAUCAGUUUUUUCUUCUUCUUCUUUUCUUUUUGCUUUGUUUUUUGAAGAACUUCUG